GUGGGGAAUUUUGGACAAUGGGCGCAAGCCUGAUCCAGCCAUUCCGCGUGCAGGAUGAAGGCCUUCGGGUUGUAAACUGCUUUUGUACGGAACGAAAAGCCUCUGGUUAAUACCCGGGGGUCAUGACGGUACCGUAAGAAUAAGCACCGGCUAACUACGUGCCAGCAGCCGCGGUAAUACGUAGGGUGCGAGCGUUAAUCGGAAUUACUGGGCGUAAAGCGUGCGCAGGCGGUGAUGUAAGACAGUUGUGAAAUCCCCGGGCUCAACCUGGGAACUGCAUCUGUGACUGCAUUGCUGGAGUGCGGGAGAGGGGGAUGGAAUUCCGCGUGUAGCAGUGAAAUGCGUAGAUAUGCGGAGGAACACCGAUGGCGAAGGCAAUCCCCUGGGCCUGCACUGACGCUCAUGCACGAAAGCGUGGGGAGCAAACAGGAUUAGAAACCCGUGUAGUCC
rnacentral:rRNA from 1 species